rnacentral:rRNA from 1 species
AGCGAACGCUGGCGGCAGGCCUAACACAUGCAAGUCGAACGAACCCUUCGGGGUUAGUGGCGGACGGGUGAGUAACACGUGGGAACGUGCCUUUAGGUUCGGAAUAACUCAGGGAAACUUGUGCUAAUACCGAAUGUGCCCUUCGGGGGAAAGAUUUAUCGCCUUUAGAGCGGCCCGCGUCUGAUUAGCUAGUUGGUGAGGUAAAGGCUCACCAAGGCUACGAUCAGUAGCUGGUCUGAGAGGAUGACAGCCACAUUGGGACUGAGACACGGCCCAAACUCCUACGGGAGGUAGCAGUGGGGAAUCUUGCGCAAUGGGCGAAAGCCUGACGCAGCCAUGCCGCGUGGAUGAUGAAGGUCUUAGGAUUGUAAAAUCCUUUCACCGGUGAAGAUAAUGACUGUAGCCGGAGAAGAAGCCCCGGCUAACUUCGUGCCAGCCGCCGCCGUAAUAC